CCGAUUGAAUGGCUCAGUGAGGCGUCCGGACUGGCCCAGAGAGGUGGGCAACUACCACUCAGGGCCGGAAAGCUCUCCAAACUCGGUCAUUUAGAGGAAGUAAAAGUCGUAACAAGGUCUCCGUUGGUGAACCAGCGGAGGGAUCAUUACCGAGUUUACAACUCCCAAACCCCUGUGAACAUACCAAUUGUUGCCUCGGCGGAUCAGCCCGCUCCCGGUAAAACGGGACGGCCCGCCAGAGGACCCCUAAACUCUGUUUCUAUAUGUAACUUCUGAGUAAAACCAUAAAUAAAUCAAAACUUUCAACAACGGAUCUCUUGGUUCUGGCAUCGAUGAAGAACGCAGCAAAAUGCGAUAAGUAAUGUGAAUUGCAGAAUUCAGUGAAUCAUCGAAUCUUUGAACGCACAUUGCGCCCGCCAGUAUUCUGGCGGGCAUGCCUGUUCGAGCGUCAUUUCAACCCUCAAGCCCUCGGGUUUGGUGUUGGGGAUCGGCGAGCCCUUGCGGCAAGCCGGCCCCGAAAUCUAGUGGCGGUCUCGCUGCAGCUUCCAUUGCGUAGUAGUAAAACCCUCGCAACUGGUACGCGGCGCGGCCAAGCCGUUAAACCCCCAACUUCUGAAUGUUGACCUCGGAUCAGGUAGGAAUACCCGCUGAACUUAAGCAUAUCAAUAAGCGGAGGAA
rnacentral:rRNA from 1 species